GGUCUGUCAAGGCCGCGAUCAAUUUCUCCUCAUCGUCCCUCGCCACGUAAACCUUAGCCCUCAGAAAACAAUCCGCCUCAAUAUCCCGACGUAAAUGCUAUCAAGAGCUCGGUCGCAGAUGCCACGUCUCAACUGUUUAUCCAAUCUAACGAUCAGCAGGUGGUGAAGAAGGGUGAAACUUUCAGGUGACAAGCUGCGUUGAAAAUGCGCCGUUUUACCAGCAAAAAUCAUCGCUCCUCUGAGGGAGUUUUUUUUUUUUUUCCUGUGGGGACAAGAAAUGAAAUCUGCUGCCGCGAGAGGAGGGUGACGAAGGAGGAAGCAGGAGAGGUUGCUGGCUCGGCUGCCGGGUGGCUGAUAAUGGAGCCGGCGCCCACUUGCGCAGCCCGCCAGCCCAUUCGAACUCUACACAUUUCACCCACGCAUUCGGCAUGCUGGCCAUCACUGGUACCUCCAGGGCAGGCGAAGCGAACCCCGCAGACGAGAG